rnacentral:rRNA from 1 species
UACGGGGGGGGCAAGCGUUGUUCGGAAUUACUGGGCGUAAAGGGCUCGUAGGCGGCCAACUAAGUCAGACGUGAAAUCCCUCGGCUUAACCGGGGAACUGCGUCUGAUACUGGAUGGCUUGAGUUCGGGAGAGGGAUGCGGAAUUCCAGGUGUAGCGGUGAAAUGCGUAGAUAUCUGGAGGAACACCGGUGGCGAAGGCGGCAUCCUGGACCAUGACUGACGCUGAGGAGCGAAAGCCAGGGGAACAAACGGG